GCGGAGCGGGGGCCAUCGGCGCGCCUCGCUGAGCCCUCUCCCUCUCCCUCCAGUGCUGAAAUGGGAAGGCGGUCAAAUUCCCAGCCUCCCAUCGGGAUUCCACUUCCUGCCCACUAAUGUGUAAGCGCUCGGACUCGCCCUGACACCUGGAUUCCCCUGGUUUUCUCCAGAGAUGCCUCAGUACUUUGCAGCCUCCAGCCAAGGACUAACAAAGAGAAGCCUAAUUAAGAACAGCCUCAGUCCACUGCAAUUCUGACCAGAGUCAGCUUGGACUAUUCACCUACGAUGAUUUCUCAUCUCAUAACAGUAACUCUGGGAAGAAAGCAUCAGUAUUACACGGAAUGGAAUGGGCUGUGCUGGGAACCGAAUCAGGCCUCCUAAGAUGGGCAAGCCACGUGCACAGCUAAUUAGCUUACGAAGUGAAGAGGAGGAUGGCCUUUGUUACCUGCCCUGAAGGAGGGCUCCCUGACAUCUAUUUUCUCCCCACCAAGCCACAUACCCAGCAAGGAAAACAAUGGCCAAUUUUUCUCAGCAGCCAGACCUAAUGGAAUCAAGAUGCUCCACCGGCUGGCGGCCCACUCCUUGCUGUCAGAGGACACAAGCUCUAAAUUGAUUUGGUUAAUUCAGUGACAGAUGCUCCGAGCACCAGGCCUUGACCCCUUAAUGGAUGACCUCUCUUUAACCCAUCAGAAACCUCUUAGUUUCCUUUGGCUUAAGAGUCAUUACUUGGUCAAAAGAGAGAUAAAGGGUCAAUAAGCACUUCCAGGCCCCCGUAGAAAACAGGCCACGUUGAUUCCCUCCCUCUUCCCCCCACCGCCACUGCACGUCAUUUCCUUUUAUUUUUCUCCCUGGAGAGCAUCCCUGUUUUCUUAUGUGGACUUUGGCCUUUCUUAUAGAAAGAUCUUAGAAGGCACCUGGGUGGCUCAGUCGGUUAAGCGACCGACUUCAGCUCAGGUCACGAUC